CCAUAGAUACUACAUACACACAUGGAUAUGAAACAGGAAGUCGGUAUCCAAUUAACUCUUUGAAGUUCACCUGUAAACGUCAUAACCAGCAUAGCUCUAUCCUUGGCGCUUUUCUCUCUGUCUAUGUUUUCAAGAAUUUUCUUGACUCACUUAUUUUUGUGAAAGAAGGCCUCAUGUUUACAUGACAAAAUUAGAAGACCUCCAUUUUUAUUUGUAACCACCUUUUCUAGACUCUCGAACGGAGUUAGCUAGUAUGAACAAGUUACUACUUUGAGUGUAUUCAUUAAGGCCUCUUAUAUAGACUGUUUAUGGUUUCAUUUUUCUAGAUGCUAUGUUUCAAAAGUAAUAAUAUAUUUUUUGCAAGUGUUUCAAAGGGUGUGGUUUAAUUUUUAGUGAGAACUGAGUAGUGAAAGAAUAGGUUAUUUACCAAGAAACACAAGCAGGAUUUCAGUGGCAUUGAUGAGACAUUGUUACAUGAUUGUAAAGCUUUAUAUUUAUGCUACCACAGAGAACUAUCAAGAUAGAGAUGAUGUACAUUACAGUAUGUACUGUAUGGUGAUACAUUAAAAUUUGUUGAAGGACUCAUAAUAAUAAUCAAUCUAUUGG